rnacentral:rRNA from 1 species
GACGAACGCUGGCGGCGUGCCUAAUACAUGCAAGUAGAACGCACAGUUUAUACCGUAGCUUGCUACACCAUAGACUGUGAGUUGCGAACGGGUGAGUAACGCGUAGGUAACCUGCCUGGUAGCGGGGGAUAACUAUUGGAAACGAUAGCUAAUACCGCAUAAUAUUAAUUAUUGCAUGAUAAUUGAUUGAAAGAUGCAACUGCAUCACUACCAGAUGGACCUGCGUUGUAUUAGCUAGUAGGUGAGGUAACGGCUCACCUAGGCGACGAUACAUAGCCGACCUGGGAGGGUGAUCGGCCACACUGGGACGGAGACACGGCCCAGACUCCUACGGGAGGCAGCAGUAGGGAAUCUUCGGCAAUGGACGGAAGUCUGACCGAGCAACGCCGCGUGAGUGAAGAAGGUUUUCGGAUCGUAAAGCGCUGUUGUAAGAGAAGAACGGGUGUGAGAGUGGAAAGUUCACACUGUGACGGUAACUGACCAGAAAGGGACGGCUAACUACGUG